AUUGAACGCUGGCGGCAUGCCUUACACAUGCAAGUCGAACGGCAGCACGGGUGCUUGCACCUGGUGGCGAGUGGCGAACGGGUGAGUAAUACAUCGGAACAUGUCCUGUAGUGGGGGAUAGCCCGGCGAAAGCCGGAUUAAUACCGCAUACGAUCCACGGAUGAAAGCGGGGGACCUUCGGGCCUCGCGCUAUAGGGUUGGCCGAUGGCUGAUUAGCUGGUUGGUGGGGUAAAGGCCCACCAAGGCGACGAUCAGUAGCUGGUCUGAGAGGACGACCAGCCACACUGGGACUGAGACACGGCCCAGACUCCUACGGGAGGCAGCAGUGGGGAAUUUUGGACAAUGGGCGAAAGCCUGAUCCAGCAAUGCCGCGUGUGUGAAGAAGGCCUUCGGGUUGUAAAGCACUUUCGUCCGGAAAGAAAUCCUUGGCUCUAAUACAGUCGGGGGAUGACGGUACCGGAAGAAUAAGCACCGGCUAACUACGUG
rnacentral:rRNA from 1 species